rnacentral:rRNA from 1 species
GGAAUCGAUAACCGCUGAAAGCAUCUAAGCGGGAAGCGAGCCCUGAGAUGAGUCAUCCCUGACCCCUUGAGGGUCCUAAAGGGCCGUUGGAGACCACAACGUUGAUAGGUGGGGUGUGUAAGCGUAGCGAUACGUUGAGCUAACCCAUACUAAUUACCCGUGAGGCUUAACCAU